rnacentral:rRNA from 1 species
CAGCCGCCGCGGUAAUACAGAGGGUGCGAGCGUUAAUCGGAUUUACUGGGCGUAAAGCGUGCGUAGGCGGCUUCUUAAGUCGGAUGUGAAAUCCCUGAGCUUAACUUAGGAAUUGCAUUCGAUACUGGGAAGCUAGAGUAUGGGAGAGGAUGGUAGAAUUCCAGGUGUAGCGGUGAAAUGCGUAGAGAUCUGGAGGAAUACCGAUGGCGAAGGCAGCCAUCUGGCCUAAUACUGACGCUGAGGUACGAAAGCAUGGGGAGCAAACAGGAUUAGAUACCCCCGUAGUCCCUGUCUCUUACAC